GCCAUACCAUGCUGAAUAUACCUGUUCUCGUUCGAUCACCGAAAUCAAGCAUCAGCGGGUGCGGUCAAAACUUGGGAAGGGUAACCACUUGGGAACACUGCGUGCCGUUG